CGGAGGGCGCAAGCGUUGUUCGGAAUCACUGGGCGUAAAGCGCGUGUAGGCGGCCGGGCAAGUCGGAUGUGAAAUCCCGAGGCUCAACCUCGGAACUGCAUUCGAAACUGCUCGGCUCGAGUCCCGGAGAGGAUGGCGGAAUUCCCGGUGUAGGGGUGAAAUCCGUAGAUAUCGGGAGGAACACCAGUGGCGAAGGCGGCCAUCUGGACGGUGACUGACGCUGAGACGCGAAAGCGUGGGGAGCAAACAGGAUUAGAUACCCUGGUAGUCCACGCCGUAAACGGUGAGUGCUAGACGUCGCGGGUAUUGACCCCCGCGGUGUCGAAGCUAACGCGUUAAGCACUCCGCCUGGGGAGUACGGCCGCAAGGCUA
rnacentral:rRNA from 1 species